AUCUUAUUUGAUAGAGAAAAGAAGAAGAAAAUAAACCAAAGUUAUCAAAGAGGAAGUUGAAAAAGUUAAAUAGAAUGAGUAUUGCCGAACUGAAACAAAAAGUCAGUAGGCCAGAAUUGGUUGAAAUGCAUGAUGUUACUGCAAAAGAUCCUGUUUUGUUACUACAGUUAAAGG